GUUCAUAUUUAAUCACGUACAAACAUGUAAAAUUAGCAUACGGUGCGGUCAUUUUGUUUUUUGACAGGAUCACAGAAGAUCAUUUUAAAGAGUUUACAGUAAACGUAAGCAACGGAAUAGGGAAUGACCUGGAAGUAGCUGUCAUCUUAUUCCAAGAGGAUGUCUAUCUAGACGAAACAAGUAUCAUUAUCAUAUCGGUGCUUGCAUCUGCUUUGUUUGUCGCCAUUACCCUUGUGGUUGUUACAUGUGUGAUCUAUAAGAAGG
rnacentral:sRNA from 1 species